UACGAAGGGGGCUAGCGUUGCUCGGAAUCACUGGGCGUAAAGGGUGCGUAGGCGGGGCUUUAAGUCAGGGGUGAAAUCCUGGAGCUCAACUCCAGAACUGCCUUUGAUACUGAAGAUCUUGAGUUCGGGAGAGGUGAGUGGAACUGCGAGUGUAGAGGUGAAAUUCGUAGAUAUUCGCAAGAACACCAGUGGCGAAGGCGGCUCACUGGCCCGAUACUGACGCUGAGGCCCGAAAGCGUGGGGAGCAAACAGG
rnacentral:rRNA from 1 species